UCGUCGGUUACCCACGGGUGCUUCUAUUCGAUUAUCUCCAUCAUCACCCGUGGGUCAAUCCUAUUCAAAUAGCUCGUUUCUCAUUAAAUAUGCAUGAACUUUUUGACCUUUUCUUAUCCAAUGAAAUCAUCGGUUACAUAUACCUAUUGAUCCUCUGCUUCGGAGAUAAAUAUGGUGGCCCAUGUUUACGAUGCAAAAAGGUAACCAAGGGAAAAGUUGUGAAAUAUGUAGCGAAAUUAUCAAAGACAAAAAAUCCUACAGACAGGUGAAAUCAAAUGUAGAUUUUUGUCAGUUAUUUUUAGAACUGAACUUGGAAGAAGACGGUUUACGUUUGCAAGUUUUGUGUUAACAAGUUAAAUAGACGACAUUAAAACGAAAGUAGCGAAGUUGACCGAGAAACGGAAUGAGUUGUUGGCAGAAUUAAAAAAUGCUGUCGGUAGCAAAGUACUUACACCUGUCAUUAAAAAACGGGGACGACAAAAAAAACACACCAACACCCCGUAAACUAAAGGUCCGACGCUUGUUGUCAUUCCCAAAUUCUCCUGGAGCUAGUGACGUACGUGACCCAGCUGAUUCCAUAAAGCCAUUGAGAGAUGAAUCAGCAGGAGAGAGAUCUCAGCAAGCUGCAGAUGUAUUGGAUGAACAAAUUCAGCCCUUAGUUGUAGACAGUGUACAACCUGAUUCACAAACUAAGUUAUACCAUGAAAAGGACUUUGAUGUCAAGAGUGUGUGCUAAAAGAUGGACAUCGUGUUGUCACAGAUUGGCCAUCGCUCAGUCAAGCUAACGAACCGCUUUCCAAACUUGAUCCAAAGGCUAUGCAACAGUGGAUGCAGUUUCAGAAGAGAAUUGCUUCCAAAUUACUACACUAGAACAUGGACAGUGAAAAUGUAGUCUAUGUAAUCAUAGUAGGUCUUUGUUAGGCCUUGCCUAAUGACAGGUGCCCUAUAGGUAUCAUUUUAUGUCAAUGAAGUUGUUUCUUUGAAAAGAAUUUCAUGAACUUUACACUUGAUUUCACAGAGGAAGGCCUGAUUUAUCAGAUUUGUCAUUGAAUACAUAGUUAUGGGAGUCGGAAUUUUUUUGUGAAAUCAGCAAAAUAAUGAUAGCAACUUCUUUGAUAUGCAAUAUCUUUGAGACUAGAAUUUUUUAGGGUGGAUGUACCAAUUCAACUACCAGACCAGAUACAUGUAGUUCAGUGGUACAGCACCAGAUGGUUAAUAUUCAUUGUAGGUCUCUUUCUCACUUGGCAGGUUUCUGUUAAAUAUGAGAAAGUAUUUAAGCUUGUUACAAUUAUCGGUAUCAAUUGCCAUUUUCACAAAAAAUCUUUGGAGUAAUAAAGUUUGACUCUGCCUUAAACUCAACUGUUUAAGAAUGCCAGUUUUAUUACCUAUGUAUAUAAUUAAUAGUACGUAAAAGAUCUUAGAAUUAGUGUUUUAAUGUAUUCAAUGUAAAACGAAGGGAUAAUCAGCAAUUUUGAAGGAUUUAAAUCAAUUGAAAAUAAUAUCUAUUGUUAAAUAAUGAUGAAAUUGAAGUAGAAUAUAUUUUCAUGUCUGGUAAAUGAUUAGAAGCUAGUCUUUAUGCACUUCAGACUUCCAAGUUAUCUGCCCUUUGUAAAAAUUAGAAUUUUCUACAGAUAUGUGUGGUAAAUGAUUAAUUUUAUUUCAUGUUUUCAUAGAGAAAGUGUAUGAAACUUUUUACCAAGAGAUUUGUAUGAAAAUAUAAUUUCUUUCAAAAAUAUUUUAAUAUUUUUAACAGGCUCCUCUCAUAAACUUCAAUGUAUAGGUGAAAUAUGGUUGUUAUACAUUGGAUACCUUAAAAUCUUUGAUUUUCAUCACAUGUUCUUUGUGGAAAGGACCACAGAUCAGUCUUCAUUUCAUGCAUACAAAAUCCCUAAAUAUUGUUUUUUCUUUGCUCAAAUACAUUUAAUCGCAUCAUGAUUGUGUAUAUGUUCACAGGCAAGACUAAAUGAUUAAAUUUGUGCAAUCAUUCAAACAUACUGAAUGAAACUGAAAUCUUGAAA